rnacentral:rRNA from 1 species
UUUUUUAUAGGCUUAAUUAUAAGUAAAAUCUGCUCAAUGUCUAAUAUUGGUGCAUUCCCAUAUUAUAUAAAUAGCCGCAGACUCUGUGCUAAGGUAGCAUAAUCAUUAGUUUUUUAAUUAAAGACUAGAAUGAAUGAUUUAACAAUUUUAUAGCUUUUUUUGCUGCAUAAAUUUAAAUUAUACUAUAAAUUAAAAUAUUUAUAUAAAAAUAAAAGACGAAAAGACCCUAUUAAAUUUUACUUAAGUUAAGCUGGGGAAGCUAUUUAAUUAAUACUUUAAUAUUUCAUAACACCAAAAUAACCCCUAUUCAAUAGAAGACACCAAAUUACUAUAGGGAUAACAGCGUAAUUUAUUUCUAUAGAUCUUAUAAAAAAAAAAGAUUGCGACCUCGAUGUUGAAUUAAUUAAUCUAAUCCACGCAACAGUGAAUAAAGAAAGUCUGUUCGACUUUUAAAUAAUUACA